rnacentral:rRNA from 1 species
GACUUGGACUGGCCGCCAGGGUCCGGAAGAGGAGCGAGUUCACUCGAUCAUCUACGUUACGUGGGUGGUGGGGAGCGACGAGCUCUGGGUUACUGUGAAGAAAUUAGAGUGUUUAAAGCAGGCAGGAAAGCUUGAAUAGACGAGCAUGGAAUAACAAGAUAGGACAUUGAGAGCCUCUUGUUGGUGAAGGGGGACGGAUGUAAUGAUUAAUAGGGUCAGUUGGGGGCAUUAGUAUUCAGUAGUCAGAGGUGAAAUUCUUGGAUUUACUGAAGACUAACUAGUGCGAAAGCAUUUGCCAAGGAUGUUUUCAUUAAUCAAGAACGAAAGUUAGGGGAUCGAAGACGAUCAGAUACCGUCGUAGUCUUAACUAUAAACGAUGCCGACUAAGGAUCGGCAGGGGUCGGUUAGCGACACUGUCGGGACUUUGUGAGAAAUCAAAGUUUAUGGGUUCUGGGGGGAGUAUGGUCGCAAGGCUGAAACUUAAAGGAAUUGACGGAAGGGCACCACCAGGAGUGGAGCCUGCGGCUUAAUUUGACUCAACACGGGAAAACUCACCAGGUCCGGACAUGGUAAGGAUUGACAGAUUGAGAGCUCUUUCUUGAUUCUGUGGGUGGUGGUGCAUGGCCGUUCUUAGUUGGUGGAGUGAUUUGUCUGGUUAAUUCCGAUAACGAACGAGACCUUGACCUGCUAACUAGAUGCUAGUACGAGAGUAUUGGUAGACUUCUUAGGGGGACUGACUA